rnacentral:tRNA from 2 species
GCGCGAGUGCUGUAAUUGGUAGCCAGGCAUCCUUGAGGUGGAUGUGGGGGUAACCCCGUGGAGGUUCAAGUCCUCUCUCGCGCA